GUGCCUCACAAGGGACAACACUCCGAUUGUCUAGGAGGAGGAAGGUCAGGGACAGAAAAGUAAAAGCCAGGAGCAGCCUGUCCUGUCUGCCUGGGCUGCUGGGGAAUCAUUGUCAGUGAAUCGAGUUGUCUGUGGAGCCCCUGAGCAAAUUCUCCCAGUGGCAGGUUGGACUUGAACUGGCACUGUUGCUGGGGAUGAUCGUGAUGAUGGUCCUUCUGUCUCUGUCUCCCAAGUGCUGGGAUUACAGCAGAUCUCGAAAAAGGGGAGGAAGGCCUUCACCGCUGAACCCGAGCUUUGCCAUUUCGAAGUGCUGAGUCACCUCGUCCUCUCUGGGUCAGACACUUUCACGCAGGAAACGUCCUGCAGAGCACCGCAGCAGGAGCACCGAGCUGGUGUAUAGGUGUAGGUCUGUGAACCAAGUGCACGUCUAGUUCCCUUGGAGGCCAGAAAGAAGGCGGUGUCAGAUCCCCAGGAACCAUAGUUACAGAUGGUUAUGUGGAAAC
rnacentral:lncRNA from 1 species